GGAAGGCCUUGAUUUUCAAUACAGUAGAUAAAGUUGAAAUGCUUUCUCUGUGGUAUUAAAUACAGAGUUAAAUGAGUAAAGGAUCCACCUACUUCUCUGUGGUAACCGAGUUCAUUUAUUUUUAAAACUUAAGAAAAUUUUGCUCUAAUUUCUGAUCAUUUUAAGGAAUCUACUUGCUUCCUUGUGCUAAAAGGAAGGGUUUUCAGGGACGAGAACGGUGACUUACCGGAUCAGGCCAGAUGCUGAUGGCGCAGGCAUGUAUAGUGUUGAGGUAACAUUCAUCUUCACCGUGCUUGAUUUACAAAAAAGAAAAAUAAAAAAAGGUGUUAAAAUUACAAAGCAAUGAAACUUCUGAUUAGAUGUUAUGGAAGUAGUAGAUCUCAACCUGGAAAAUGAUGGUCUUGUUAGGUUUUACAUAUUGAGCAUUGCCCCAUGGAACUAGCCUGAGAUUGAUAAUAUUGAGAAGAUCAGUGUUGAAGACCUUCACAAGUUGACUUACAAUGAAACUCCGGCAAUAUGGACAUAGAGACUCAUAAUAUAGAGACAAAUGAACCUUCUUUGGUUUGAUAUGAGAUUGGGCUUUGGUGACAUUGUUAUCUGGAGAGGAAUGAGAUUGAUAGAUGAAAAUGAAGUUUACAAGGAGAAGAAG
rnacentral:lncRNA from 1 species